rnacentral:lncRNA from 1 species
GCAGUUCCCGCGGCUCUCUACAGCAGAGAAGAGAAGAGAAAACGCGGCAGGGCGCUCUGUUGGCUUCUCCAGGAGUGACUGUGCUGCUUUCCAAGAUGAAACCUCCCUUCCUUUGCAGUUCGCUGAGAGCUUCAGUGACCCUCGCUCAUCCUUUGGAGCCCUCUGCCAGGACGAGCCAGUUGUGUGUGGCUUCUGGUGCCUGACCAUUCCUAUCCUGGCUGGAGUCUCCAGAGGUGAGUUUUUACUCUCUUCUCAGUGGAUUCUGACUUCCUGUGUCUGACGAGCCUGGGCAGUACCACAUCUCCUGAUACCACUGAGCAAAAGUGCCCCUGCGGACCCAUUCCACACCCAGCUCCUCCAAGAGCUUACCCAGAUUCCUGAAGAUCAAUCAGCCUUUGUGGUGCCUACACUCUAGUGAUGGUCAGCAAAGCAAAAUGAAAGUGAGGUGACAUGAGCAGGAAACAUGGAGUGAGUGGCUCAUGAUCGCCAAAGGGAAGAGUGGCUGUUAAUAAAUCUGCAACAAAAUCUUGGAAAAUUUCAAAUGCCAAGUGUCUGAAGAAUAAGAACUGGAAUUGAGACUGUCCUAACUAGGUGAUAAUGAACAGCAAUGUCAGAGAAGUGCAAAUACCGUGAUCAGAUUACCCUAGUUUGUGGCUAAAUCUGGGAUGUUACCUUCAAAAAGAGUCAAACUGGAAUCUAGAGGCACUAAAAUUCAGGUGAGUCAGCAGGUUAGUAAUAAGUAGUACAAGCUUUUUUUCAACUGCUGUUUUUAAAAACAUAGUAAUUACCACUGAAUGCAAAGUGCAUCCUGCUUUAAAAAAAUUAUUAUUCUGAUGCUUUAGCAAAGGUAAUGCUUUUAUUUUAUUAUGAACUGCCCACGUGUACUUCCCUAGGCUGUGAUUCAUCUGAGCAGUUUUUCAGUUAAAGAACAUUUUAUUCUAGACUGAAAAAAAUAUAUUGAAUGCCCCACAGUGGUGUGAGGUUAGCAUAAACAUGGAAUGACAGGCAGUUAAAUUUAAAACUAGAAUAAUGACAUAAUCUGGCAGUAUAUCAAAGCUACUGUAUAUUUCUUAUGUAUAGCAUUUUGGUUUUCAUGACCGUAAUUUCAGAGGCCAUAUGAUGAUGAGUCAUGGUCCUGUUUACGGUGCUAACAUUUUGUUCUUCCUUUUAACAGUGACAGGAGUCUGAAGAGAUUUUUAGCUCAUUCUAAUUUUCCUCCCUAAAGCUGCUACUUACUGUCCGUGGCUGAUGCUCUUUGCAGAAAGUAUCCUGGAUAGCUCUGGGUUUCUGAAUCGUAAGGGUAUCUCCUCACCAGAGUGCAACAACCUAAAAGCCCUUAACUAAGUUUCUAAUCACAAGCAAGAUGGUCUUGGAUUAAGUGCCCUUUGAGAAUAGCAGCAAUCCUGUCAUUGUGUCUCCCUCACCAUAUCAAAUAGGAUUCUUAUUUUAGCACUGAAAGCAAUUUUUUCCUUGUAGAGAACGAAGAGAAACUCUCAACAGUCAGUUUGAAGAACAGACCACAGUGGAACAAAACACAUUUCCUCUUCUCUCCUACAUGGCUCUGGAGCUAAUUUGAUUUAAUUUAACAAUUACAUAGCGAAUGCUAUUUUACAAAUGUUGCGCUAUUUAAUCUUCAUAGCAACCUUGUGACAUGGUUACUGCUGUUAUCUCCAGUUUACAGAGGACAAAAGGAGAUGCUGAGUGCUCAAAGCUGAAGGAAGUGAACCCAGAUUCAAAGACAGGUUUCUCAGUCUCAUCACUCAGUAGCAGCCAGUUACUUUCUUCCCUUCUUGGAGGUCUCCAACAUCUCCACCCUCCAAUGGGGCUGGAGGGAAACUUCUGAUGAAUAAUGCACCCAACAAACAGCACUAGAGGCAUGAAAUUCUAGAUAUACUUAAAACAUUCCAUGCAUUUUUAUUUCGAAUUCCUCUGCCCACCCAGAAUUUAUGCUUAAUAAAAGAGAAAAUAACUCUGCAUGUCUGAGAUCUUCACAGCUGGUUUGCCAAGCAUGGUCUCUUCUUAUAUUCUGCCAUAUUGCUGGCCUGUUCAGUUUAGCAUUUGCCCUGGGUUUUUCAUUUUUAACCUAUUAUUAUUAGUAACAGUUCAGUAUAAAUGCUAAGAUGGGUCUGGUGGACUUUCACUUUUCCAGCUUCAGCUCCAACUCAGCUAGGACCAUAUCUGAUAGAUGUCCGAACCUUCCUAGGAACAAAGCAACUAACACCAUUCUCCCACGGAGAUCAUGCAGGACACUCGGUAGGACAAGGAAAUGCGCAUGAAUACCAUAUUGAUGUUGCUUGCUGCCCUGCUGGCUUAGUGCUGGUCCAGCCAGUGAAGUGUGGCAGAGGUAGCAAUUCUUGUCACAAUUCUAACCUAAGUCCACAGGGUACCUGAAGCGACCAACCUGCAAGUCAGUGGAUUCUUUAGGAAAUAGGGAGAAGUAUAGGGCAGUUAUACAUAAAAUAUGCAGGGGAAAUCAAGGCAAGUAUGUUCUACCCAGUAAAUUACUGAUUAAAGUAGUCAAAUAAACACCAAAAAAAAAAAAAAAAAAA